CAAUAGCGUAUAUUAAAGUUGUUGCAGUUAAAAAGCUCGUAGUUGGAUUUCUGGUGGGAGCGAUCGGUCUGGCGCUUAGCGCGAGUACUUGCAUCGUCUCCGGCCAUCCUUGGGGAGAGUCUGUCUGGCAUUAGGUUGUCGGGCAGAGGAUCCUCAUCGUUUACUGUGAAAAAAUUAGAGUGUUCAAAGCAGGCAUCGCCGUUGAAUACAUUAGCAUGGAAUAAUAAGAUAAGACUUUGGUGGUCUAUUUUGUUGGUUUGCACGCCAAAGUAAUGAUUAAUAGGGAUAGUUGGGGGUAUUCGUAUUCUAUUGCUAGAGGUGAAAUUCUUAAAUUUAUGGAAGACGAACUACUGCGAAAGCAUUUACCAAGGAUGUUUUCAUUAA
rnacentral:rRNA from 1 species